rnacentral:rRNA from 1 species
GUCGAACGAAGCACUUAGGACAGAUUACUUCGGUUUGAAGUCCUAUUUGACUGAGUGGCGGACGGGUGAGUAACGCGUGGGUAACCUGCCUCAUACAGGGGGAUAACAGUUAGAAAUGACUGCUAAUACCGCAUAAGCGCACGGUCUCGCAUGGGACAGUGUGAAAAACUCCGGUGGUAUGAGAUGGACCCGCGUCUGAUUAGCUGGUUGGUGAGGUAAGGGCUCACCAAGGCGACGAUCAGUAGCCGGCCUGAGAGGGUGAACGGCCACAUUGGGACUGAGACACGGCCCAAACUCCUACGGGAGGCAGCAGUGGGGAAUAUUGCACAAUGGGGGAAACCCUGAUGCAGCGACGCCGCGUGAAGGAAGAAGUAUUUCGGUAUGUAAACUUCUAUCAGCAGGGAAGAAAAUGACGGUACCUGACUAAGAAGCCCCGGCUAACUACGUGCCAGCAGCCGCGGUAAUACGUAGGGGGCAAGCGUUAUCCGGAUUUACUGGGUGUAAAGGGAGCGUAGGCGGUUCAGCAAGUCAGAAGUGAAAGCCCGGGGCUCAACUCCGGGACUGCUUUUGAAACUGUUGAACUAGAUUGCAGGAGAGGUAAGU